GAUCUGGCUCAGGAUGAACGCUGGCGGCGUGCCUAAUACAUGCAAGUCGAACGCUUCACUUCGGUGAAGAGUGGCGAACGGGUGAGUAAUACAUAAGUAACCUGGCAUCUACAGGGGGAUAACUGAUGGAAACGUCAGCUAAGACCGCAUAGGUGUAGAGAUCGCAUGAACUCUAUAUGAAAAGUGCUACGGGACGUGGUAGGAUGAUGGACGUUAUUGGCGGCAUUAG
rnacentral:rRNA from 1 species